UCUAGAGAGGAUUAUCAAGUGUUGCAUAUCCUUCGUUAGCUGGUGUAUAUAAAAGGUUAGGUGACUUCAGAAAAAUGCACAGGCUAGAACGUAGUAAGCCAGCAGAAGAAUUAAAGGGAAGGAUUCUUUUGUCCUGGCAGCAUGUCAGUCUGAACUGUCAUUCUGCUUUCUUUUGACCUUAAAAUUAAUGAAACCUUCAUGUAUCGUUGCUACUGAGGGCAGGGAUGCUUUGCACCUCUGAAACUUUGGUAAUACGCCUGUUUUGGCUCUGUGUGCCAGUGCCUAUCCGUCUGUAUUGUUGAGCUGUGUGCAAAAAAAUGGUCAUACAUGAUGCUUACUGUAUGAAACCUAAAUGCCAAAAACUCUUAAAACUUCACAAACACUGAGGCCUGGCCUUGGUCUGUGUUAAAUCAGUUAUGCAGGCUUUAAAAUCACAUCAUUAUGGAUGAAAUUCUGACCUUUUUUUUUUUCUUUAAGAAUUUAUGUCCAGGCAGAACUAAUUUUAACAAAAAGUAUUUACGUGCUCUUCAGAGUCUGUUCUUCACAGUUCCCUGAAACAACACUAGCAGUGAGGAAUUUGAGUGAUUCAUAUGUUCACAGAGAUGUUUCAUUUGAAAACUAAAUGGAAAUUGGACUCAUGUAUGCUACUAUUAGGUGAAAUUUGUGUUUGACUGUUUUGGGGCAUGGAGGAAGGAACAGGCGUUCGGAGAGCAGAGCAGCAAAGUCUACAGCAAAUUGACUACAUGAUACAGACUUUAUAAAGGCUCUCCAAGGAGUCAUGGACAGGUGCAGAGAACCAUGUAUUGUCUCCAUGUUCUGAGCUGCCUGGGCCAACCUUGGGAUUAUUUGGAGUUGACUCAUCCAUUCUGAACUCCAUGUUGACAAAAUACAAAUGGAGAGGAUAGAAAAUACAUGGUGCCUAGGAGCUAGGAACAGCUAAUAGGAAUUGGAAAUGGGCAGUCUUAAAGAAAUAAAAAUGACAGCAAAAUAGUAAAGGAGGAACAAAUGAAUUCGAAGUGAAUUUCCAAUGUUGGAGACUGCAAGGUCUGACUAUUUUAUAAAAAAUGUUUUCUUCUUUGAAUGUAGAAUGUUCAUUGAAAAAAAAAUUUUCAUAGUUGUUGAUUUUGUUGUACCAACAGCUGCCUCUGCUGGCCCAGUUCCUUAUAUGCAUUUAAUGUUUUGGUUUUUUUUUUUUCUUUUAACACAACAUGUACACAAAAUCUGAAUCGCUUCUCAGUGCAUCGAAUAUCACAUCAUGGUUCAACACUCAGCUAGUUACUGGAGACUCUUAAUAAUUGAAAGUUUGUUUGUUCUGGGCUUGAAAAACAAAGCUCCCCUGUAGUAAUUUCUCUUCAGUCAACUUUCCCUUGUUUGUAAGCCUGUUCAUCUUUUUGAAAAAAAAAAGCACAAAAGCAGGGUUAAUAAAUUUUAAGAAGGAAGAUGCUGUGAAGUCAAUGGGGUAGGUGUAAUAUAGGAAGGUGCUUUUUACUCGAACUUUUAAAAAUACCGAUUACAUUUCCUAUCUGUGGUGUCCUUUUAAAACCAUUAGAAAGAUGGUCUGCCACAGAAGGUGUUUUCUGUUUGUUUCCUGUUCUGCAUUUUUUUUCCCCGUGUGGGUUAUCCAUUCCCACUGCCUGCAGUUGGUGCUGUUUGCGAAUAUCCACGAAGAGAAGGUAAUGCCAAGGGAUCCCUGCCAUUUUCUGAUGCGUUUCCUGUGAUGCACUGUGGUAGGAAGAAAAGAAUGAGCAGAUUUCUUUUUCUCUCUGAACCGCUGGAUGUCACUGCUACCCCAGCCAAAAUGAAGGUCAGCAGUAAACCAGAGUUUUUUUCUGCGGUAAAAGAUUUGCGUAACAAAGAUGCCAGGAACAGACUACUGUAGAUUCCGAUUAGGCUAGAAGAAAGCUGUUAGAAAAGUCUCCUGCCAUCUUUUUACUUGUGUGGAUGUUUUCCUUUUUAAUGUAAGAAACAUAAAGGAAGGGUAUACCGUAUUGAAUGAUACAGUCUAUGGUAUACAGAUAUUUCUAAAUGAGUGUGGCAGGAAUAAAUUAGUAACAGGCUUACUGUAAUCCUUACUAAUGUCUUAUGUUUUAGUAAUAUUAAUUUUAGAUACUGCCAGUGUGUGAGUGGCUCCCAUUAUCCCACAGACUUCUGUCAGAGGUUGAUUUAGAGGAGCCGGAGUAGACAGGUGCGAUAGCCACUUGGUAACAGCGGAGGGAGCUGGGGAGAUGGAGAAAAUACUGUGGAGACAUGAUGAGUAAAGUUAAAUCGCUGAUUCAGUCUAAUCCACUCCAAUUUUGAUAUCUGAAUAGUUCCAGCCUAAUUUAUUCUUCUUCUAAUUGAUCUAGAAAAUGUUAUAAAGGUUUUCCUUAAAAUAUUUCUACUUUCUCUUUUAGGUCCAGCUACUGAUUUAUUUGAAGUUUAAAUUCUCUCAGUAGCUUCUGUGGGCUUUUUUCCCCACACCCCCCUUUCUCUCUCAACCUCAUAAUUAUCAAAACCACGUGAUAAUUCCAACUUUAACUAAGUGCUAGGGCAAAUUAGAAGACUUUUAAAGGGCAGUAACUUCGGCAGUAAAAGGGUGUAAUAAUACUGCAGGAAUGAAAAUGGAAAAUCUGAUUUUUUAGUGAACUUGUGCAGGCCGAUGUUCAUGUAUGGUUUGUCAAGGCUUUUUCCUCUGCCCACUACAAAACAUUUCCUGAAAUUAAUGAAUGAUCCGUUAUGAGGAGUAGUUGGUGGAAAAUGGCAUGACCAAGCUAUUCACCAAUUCCACUGUAUCUGCUCAGUGUUAUCAUUAUCAUCAAAUACAACUUUUCAGUGGAAUAAAUUUCUAUUUAUGCAGGGAGGUUUCUGGAAAUCAGAGUUAAUGUUUCUGUGAUGGAUGAGAUUUUUACCCUAGUUUUCUUGGCAACACAGUGAAGCACACAGAACUGAGAUAAUGUCAAAGGCAAAUAAAUGGGACAUAGCUUGUUUGAA